rnacentral:lncRNA from 1 species
UCUCUCUCUCUCUCUCUCUCUCUCUCUCUCUCUCUCUCCCUCUCUCUAAAAUCUGCCUAUUUAGAGUAAGCAGUACGUACUUCAGACGUAAAAUAACUAUUGACAGGCAGAAAGGUCGGCAAAACCAUGGUUCGAUUGAUGGGCAGAAAGGCAAAUAACAAAUAUAUAUAGGGCUGUUUUCGUAAAGGAGAACAACUUUGGUCACCUCGCCGAGAAUCUUAGAAUAGACGCCGCAUUCCGUCGCCGAGAGGGACUAAACCGGCAUACACAGCAACUUUCGAGGUGUUUUCCGCAGGGCGAAAGGUUAAAUCUGAAUAACUCAGGGGCAUAGAAGCAAACAUAUAUUUUCAUCGGCAGCCAGUUCGUGUAUAGCUUCAAGGGCAUUCCCGAAUAAACAACUUUACGAGGUCUUAUAAAAAUAGUUAAACAGGGGCCGGGCUCCACAAGGCAGCGGCGGCUUCAUCGUGAGAACUGGUUGAGCCCUCUGCUGCAGAGAAAACCAGAACGAGCUCAGAAAAGCAUGCCAGUUGGGUCAACCGAUCAAGGACCAGGCCUCACGUCUACCAUUGGUCAACCGACCCUCGCCUGGUUUGGGAUCGCCCGAGUCCGGCCGAUUCCGGUAUCUAAAAUAGGGUUUUCAAGAUCCAGGCAGCAGCCCGAUCCAUGCCGAUUCCUUGAUCUGAUCCCCAAGCAGUAAUUUAGAGAGAGGAUUGGUAGAUUCAGCAUUCAUUUAGAAAGAUAAUCAAGCCAAUUCCAAGGCCUGAAUUGGCUAAUUAUAUUUCUAAACCGACGUUGAAUCUGCCGAUUCACAUAUCUAAAAUAAAGUUUUCAAGAUCUAGGCUGCGGAUCGGGCUACAAGAAUCUGCCGGACCUGUGCCAAUUCCUUGAUCUGAUCCCAAACACUAGUUUAGAGAGAGAAUCGGCAGGUUCAACAUCAGUUUAGAAAGAUAAUCAGCCAGUUCCUUGAUUCGAACCCAAACACUAAUUUUGAAUCGGCCAAUUUCCUUUGAUAUUUAAAUUGAUGUUUUUAAGAUCUGGCUACUAGAAUCCGCCUGACCCAUGUUGAUUCCUUGAUCUCAUCCUAAACACUAAUUUAGAGAGGGGAUCGGAAGAUUCGACAUCAGUUUAGAAAGAUAAUCAGGCAAAUUCCUUGAUCUGAAUCAACUAAUAAUCUUUCUAAACUAAUGUUGAAUCUGCAUAUUCCCUCUCUAGAUUACUGUUUGGGAUCCAUGCAGAGGGUCAACCAAGAGCCAGGUGCCUGAAAAUUAGUGUCUAAGAUCCAAGUGGAAGAUCAAUCGCCUGUGAACCAGGCUGCUAGAGUCAACCCAAACCGUGCCGCUUCCUCGAUCCAAAUCGGCCGAUUCACUCUUUCUAAAUUAGUGUUUGGGAUCCUGGAUAACACUAGAUUAACCACAAAGAGAAAGUCCCUCACCUUGAAACUCAGACGGGUCUCCGGUCACCUUGAACCAGGCAGAGGAUCGAACUGUUCUUGCUGUUUAUUAUCUUCAGUAAGACGGGCAACUGUGGGGGACCGGCGAGCAACCUCCGGUCAGUCGGUGUGCUGCUGAUUAGGACGGGUGAUCUUGGCGAGGAAGGGCUUCUCUCGUUGGUAUCUGCCAAGAACAAUGGAGGGUGAAUGAGAUCUUCCAGAGGGUGAGCCGAACCAGAUGCUGAAUGAAACAAAGAUAUUUCCUUUCAAUGGUUUUUAACAGAUGAAGAUUAUCCAGCUCGCAGGGAUCAAGGCAGAAGGAUGAAGCAGACGGAAACCCUAAGAUUGCAUAUAAAUGGCAGAGUCAGAGAGAAGAUUGGCAGCCCCCGUCUGCGGAGCAUGAACCCUUUCUGUGGACGAGGAAGCGCUUCUCUGUAGAUUCCAAAGAAGACUCCUUUUUUCGGAUUAUACGGUAAAAAAGGAAGGAAAAAUUGUAGAUUGUUCAGCUCUCGUAGGGAUCAGAAGGAACAGAAAACCCCACCCGUGACAGACAAGUCCAAGAGAGAAGAAUGAAAUCUAUAGGACGGGGAACAUAUGGCAGAGCUACGGAGAGAGAGAGAGAGAUC